GCCGAUCUACUUCGAGAAGUACGAAGUCCACGGCGACAUGAAGCGCGUGCCUCAACAAGUGUUGGACUCCAUAAGGAAGAACAAGGUCUGCUUGAAAGGCGGCCUGAAAACUCCGGUCGGCGGCGGUGUCAGUUCGUUGAACGUUCAAUUGAGGAAAGAGCUUGACUUGUACGCUGCGCUGGUCAACUGCUUUAACUUGCCUGGGUUGCCGACACGUCAUCAAAAUGUUGAUAUUGUUGUGAUUAGGGAAAAUACAGAAGGUGAGUACUCAGGACUCGAGCACGAAGUCGUUCCCGGCGUUGUCGAGAGUCUUAAGGUAACUUGUAAUUUUAAUUUGUGUUCAUAGUGUUGAUCUUGUUUUAUUUUUUGUUUAUUAAUAUCAAUUAAUUUGAGGCUAUGUUCUUAAUUGUCAUAUACAAAAUUUAUCUAUCGUCCAUUCAUUUGUACUUAAGAGCUAGUGAUUAUGCUACCAAGUCGUUAGUCUGGUGGUUAAACACCCUUCGCCUGAUCUCAAAGGAAAGGAAUUUGUUAGCUAUUUUUGAGCUAUGCUCGAUGAUCCCACCAGCUAUUCUACAAUUGUUUUUAGACUCUCGAUAGACUCCUGAUAGCAAUGUCAAUGGAUAAAUAUAGUUUUUGUUUUUUAAAGCCAAAAAAAAAAAAAAAAAGCUUGUGAUUUCAUUCCACAACCACCAUAGCUCAUCAAUUCAAGACAUACCUUUAGUUUAGCUUGAGUCUAGUUUGAAUUGCUAGUCAUAUUUCUUGUGUUUGAUCAAAUUUGUUAGAGCUCUACUUUAGCUGGGAUAAUGAUAAUUGUAGUAAAUGGGAUUAGGGGGGAGACUUGGUUCAUUUUUUAUAUAUUUUAAUGCUUGUUUCUGUUUUUGCGCAGGUGAUAACAAAGUUCUGUUCAGAGCGCAUUGCAAAAUAUGCAUUUGAGUAUGCGUACUUAAACUACAGGAAAAAAGUAACUGCUGUGCACAAAGCAAACAUUAUGAAACUUGCGGAUGGGUUAUUCUUGGAAUCUUGCCGGGAGGUUGCUACUAAAUAUCCCAGUAUCAAGUACAAUGAGAUUAUUGUUGACAAUUGCUGCAUGCAACUUGUUUCAAAGCCUGAACAAUUUGAUGUCAUGGUAUGCAGCUUUCAAAUACUGAUUUAGUUUAAAACAGCCGUGCAUGUUUUUCCCAUAGCUGUGCAUGUUUAUGCCAUUGCAUCGUACUUGAGUAUCUAUUUCUAGGUUGUAGGCAUACAUAAUUUUGCUUACUGCAUUAUUAUUUUGUUUUAUAUGAAAUUGUAGAUCUUGUAGUAUUUUUGGUUGAUGUCAAUGUGACUAGUAUUUAAUGUGUAUAAUUAAUUUUGGCAACUUUUGGUGUAGUGACCCAAAAAAAAAAAAAAAUCUUUCUAGAAAUUUUGGCAACGUCACUUUGGUUCUAUUGAAUUGUGCUUUGUACAUUGUGAAAUCGUGUACUUUACUAUGUUGGGCUGAAUGUUUGAGCAGUAGAGCAAGUAAUGGAAGCGAUGCACGCGCCGAUCUACUUCGAGAAGUACGAAGUCCACGGCGACAUGAAGCGCGUGCCUCAACAAGUGUUGGACUCCAUAAGGAAGAACAAGGUCUGCUUGAAAGGCGGCCUGAAAACUCCGGUCGGCGGCGGUGUCAGUUCGUUGAACGUUCAAUUGAGGAAAGAGCUUGACUUGUACGCUGCGCUGGUCAACUGCUUUAACUUGCCUGGGUUGCCG
rnacentral:lncRNA from 1 species